rnacentral:lncRNA from 1 species
UUCCAUAAAAGCUUUCGCCUCCGCCGCACUGCCGCAGCACUUGCAACCGCCGCCACCAUGUCCGUGUCCGCCACCGUAUCCCCCGCAGCACCCAAAUUUACAACCCCCGCCGCCACCUCCAUGGCCACCACCUUGUCCACCUCCAUGGCCGCCACCUUGUCCACCACCACCAUAGCCGCCGCCUUGUCCACCGCCACCAUAGCCGCCACCUUGUCCACCGCCACCUUUAUUGUGCUCGGGCUCGACUUCAUUUUCUACACAACAGUUAAACC